rnacentral:tRNA from 1 species
GCCGCGGGAUAGCGGAUGGACGGGUGCAGCGCGGGGUCGAAGCGCGCCAGCACACGGACGCGCGGUUCAGCCGCCGCGUCCGUGGCA